rnacentral:miRNA from 1 species
AACACGAUAACGUAGAAACA